AGGAAAAGAAACUAACUAGGAUUUCCUCAGUAGCGGCGAGCGAACAGGAAAGAGCCCAGCACCGAAUCCCGCGGUUCCGCCGCAGGGAAAUGUGGUGUUCGGGAGGAUCCGCUUAUCCCUAGACGUCGCGUCGCGUCCAAGUCCAUCUUGAAUGGGGCCACUUACCCGUAGAGGGUGCCAGGCCCGUAGCGACCGGUGCGCGUCUCGGGAGGAUCUCUCCUUAGAGUCGGGUUGCUUGAGAGUGCAGCUCUAAGUGGGUGGUAAACUCCAUCUAAGGCUAAAUACGACCACGAGACCGAUAGCGAACAAGUACCGUGAGGGAAAGUUGAAAAGAACUUUGAAGAGAGAGUUCAAGAGUACGUGAAACCGUUCAGGGGUAAACCUAAGAAACCCAAAAGAUCGAACGGGGAGAUUCAUCGUCAGCGACGCUGGCUUCGCGUCGGUGGGCGAUGUCCCGCGGGGUCCUAGCGGCUCGCGCGCGGGCACGCUACCGUGCGUCGACGUCCGGCGUUCGUCGUCGUGCACUUCUCCCCAAGUAGAACGUCGCGACCCGCUGGGUGUCGGUCUACGGCCCGGGUGCGGUGUCUGUCGCGUCGCCGGUAAAACGGCACGCGACAAACCCCCGGUCGCCCGGCCGGCUGCUCGGCGGUACGCGCAAGGUAUCAGGCCGCACACGCGUGCGUCGAGGCCGUCGCAAGCGCGCGCCACGGUACAUGGAGGUUACGGACCUAGCGCCGUCCCCGGUCCUGGCCCGCUGUUGGUUUCAUUAAGUACGGUUAACCUUCGACAGGCCUGCUAACGUCUCGCGCGCGCGUCCCGGGGGUAACCCCGGCGGCGCGCGCGCCGGGACCGAUACCGGUCGGCGACGCUACUGCUUUGGGUACUCUUAGGACCCGUCUUGAAACACGGACCAAGGAGUCUAACAUGUACGCGAGUCAUUGGGACUUAACGCGAGACCUAAAGGCGUAAUGAAAGUGAAGGUCGGCCCUGGCCGUCGACCGAGGGAGGAUGGGCCGCGUCGCGAUGCGGCCUCGCACUCCCGGGGCGUCUCGUUCUCAUCGCGAGAAGAGGCGCACCCAGAGCGUACACGUUGGGACCCGAAAGAUGGUGAACUAUGCCUGGUCAGGACGAAGUCAGGGGAAACCCUGAUGGAGGUCCGUAGCGAUUCUGACGUGCAAAUCGAUCGUCGGAACUGGGUAUAGGGGCGAAAGACUAAUCGAACCAUC
rnacentral:rRNA from 1 species